GUUUGUUCUCUUGGCAACAGUUGUCUUUUUUUUUUUUUUUUUUUUUUUUAAAGGUUUGACCCAACAUCUGUGGGACUAUCAGUUAGUUAAAUGGUUGGUAGGCAGACGGGAUACAGACAGACCCAGCAGGUAGGCAGACGGAUACAGACAGACCCAGCAGGUUGGUAGGCAGACAGAUACAGACAGACCCGGUAGGUUGGUAGGUAGGCAGACAGAUACAGACAGACCCGGUAGGUUGGUAGGUAGGCAGACAGACCCGGCAGGUAGUUAGGCAGAUACAGACAGACCCAGCAGGUUGGCAGGUAGGCAGACAGAUACAGACAGACCCAGCAGGUUGGCAGACAGAUACAGACAGACCCGGUAGGUUGGUAGGUAGGCAGACAUAUACAGACAGACCCGGUAGGUUGGUAGGUAGGCAGAUACAGACAGACCCGGCAGGUAGUUAGGUUGGUAGGCAGGUAGACAGACAGACCCGGCAGGUAGGCAGACAAACCCGGUAGGUAGGCAGAUAGACCCGGUAACUGUAGACAUUUUAGGUUUCCAUUGAGCCGGGUUUAAUAAGACAAACAACAUAUAUAUAUAUAUAUAUACAUAGAGACAGAGAUAUUUCACGUUAUAUAUUAUCUACCUCACUUGCUUUGGCAAUGUUAACACAUGUUUCCCAUGACAAUAAAGCCCUUGAAUUGAAUUGAGAGAGAGAGA
ensembl:lncRNA